rnacentral:rRNA from 1 species
AUGGCUCAGGAUGAACGCUAGCUACAGGCUUAACACAUGCAAGUCGAGGGGCAGCAUUAUCGAAGCUUGCUUUGAUAGAUGGCGACCGGCGCACGGGUGAGUAACGCGUAUCCAACCUUCCCCAUAGUAGGGCAUAGCCCGUAGAAAUGCGGAUUAAUACCCUAUGUAUUCCGAGGAUGACAUCUGAUUCGGAACAAAGGUUCACCGCUAUGGGAUGGGGAUGCGUCUGAUUAGGUAGUAGGCGGGGUAACGGCCCACCUAGCCGACGAUCAGUAGGGGUUCUGAGAGGAAGGUCCCCCACAUUGGAACUGAGACACGGUCCAAACUCCUACGGGAGGCAGCAGUGAGGAAUAUUGGUCAAUGGGCGAGAGCCUGAACCAGCCAAGUAGCGUGCAGGAAGACGGCCCUAUGGGUUGUAAACUGCUUUUAUACAGGGAUAAAGUCGGGGACGCGUUCCCCGUUUGCAGGUACUGUAUGAAUAAGGACCGGCUAAUUCCGUGCCAGCCGCAGC